GGUGUGCACACACCGGUCGGCCUGGGGAGGCAGAUCAGCAGGAAAACAAACUGUUAUUGUGAGCGCACACUCGCAAAUAAAAGGAGACGUCUCCUGAGCCGGCCCUGGCACCCUAUAAAAGCGUAAUUUAACCUUAUCUAAUCUGGGGCCUGUUUCAUCAUAAGGAGAGGCAAUAAUGUAAACCUUUGUGCGAAAGGAAGGAGGCAGAGCGCACGUGGGGUGGGCGGCGGGUCCCCCGACAGCCGGGCCGGUGGGUGCAGACCUCGAGUCCGGAGCCGCGAGGCGAGAAAAUGACGGAUGGGCCGGGGUACCGCGAAGGCAAAAAUGGCCAAGAGAAUCGUUUCCUCUUCCCAUCUGUUCAGGAAGGACGUCAGCGAGAUAGACUAAACACAGGCCCUGGGUCGGGAUUACGUGCGCGCGCCUGUGAACACAGCAGCCUGGCCUUUAAGAGAACCUUCCCCGGCGCUGCAGGGACAGACAAAGGGGCCCAGACGCCCACACUGGCUGGCCUUGAAGAGAAGCAGGGCAGUCCCAGACUGUCGCCUCGGCCGGCGGGGGCUGGGCCGCUCCCCGGGGAGUCUGGCCCUGGUGCCCACCGCCCGCCGCGGCCACCGGCUCAUGGCAGGGGACGCGCCCACUGGGGCCGGGCACCCCCAGCUCUCCCUGGGAAGACCCGGGAAACCCUGGCGCGGUGGGGACCCCCCCGGGGGGCCAGGGCGACGCAUCCCUGGCAUGUCCCCCCCGGAGAGCACAGCCCCUCACUCCCAGGAGCUCCCGAGGAAUUAUUUGUGCUUAGGACGGGGAUGAAUUGGAGGUGCUGCGUGAGCACAACCUCUGCUGGCCCCCCAACCUGGAGGGAGAAGCAAGCUGAGCCUCGGCCACCCAGACGUUGGGUCCCCGCCUCCUCUUUCCGCUGAGAAGUCACACUGAAGACAAACGCUACCUUCCUCCCGAGAGAGCAUCGGGGUUGAUAACGAAUAACGGUUACUGACCACCAUCCAGCACCCCCUACCCUCGGCUUUCUGGUCUACACCACCCAGGCCGUGUGCAGGACUACAGGCGUUUACCUAAGAGGCUCAGAGACGCCACCGCACACGCACACUCGGACUUUGCUGCCCUUGUUUGUGAUUUCGGUCUAGUGGGGAGUUUUCAAAUCCCAUUGGCGGGAUAAUUGCCUUAAUCUUCCAAUUUGUCUCUUGGCAGCCAAGGGGGAGAUGGUAGGACGGCCGCAGACGGGCAGCCUCGCUCCUGGGUCUGCACACACGGGCUGGAUUCCACACACGGUCUGGAGCAGGAGAAGCCCCUCCCUCACCUCCUAAGCCUGCCUUUCCUGUUUUCCGCAGCCCCUGGACCCCGCGGGUCACCCCCCCUUCCCCGCCCUGGAACCCGUGUCAGGGCGGCCUAGACCCCCACCGGGCCGGCUUCCUGGGAAUAUCAUCCGAGAGCCGAAAGCUGGAUACGCCGGAACUGUGGACUGGGAAGGGGUCCGGGCAGGUCGUGGGGCGACUGGGCUGCAGGGGAGGGGUCGCCCCCGAGGGGUCUCCGCCGGGGAGGACGGUGUGUGCCCCCUGGGCUGGCCUCAGGCCGCUCAAGAGUCCUUUCCUGAACUCGGGACUUGCCCGGAUCCUUAUUCCCUCUACUUGUCCUGAAUAAAACGAAAAGAGAAAGAGCUCCUUCUGGUUCC
rnacentral:lncRNA from 12 species